AGGUCACAUAACCCCAAACCGGAACUCCUGUUUUUAGGGUUACAUGCAGUCAGUUUGAUACUUAGCACACAUUGUUGAGUGCAUGCUGCCUAGGAUUUGUAAAAUACAUUGCAAAUGGUUGGUUUUGGUAUCAACUUGAAGGUAUAUUUGUAAGCAAUAAGAAAAUAAGCCAUUUUUGUGCUCUACUUUUUGUGUUGAUGGUUCCCGGCUUCGAAAGUAGGUCAUACUAUUUGAGCCCAAAAUGGUUGUCUGCACAGCUGUCAAAACCGGUUUGCCUAUUCUAAGGUAAAUAUUUUGAGUUUGCGCGUAUAGAAUUUAAUGACAUGCAUUUUUUUCAAAAGUAUAUGCAUUAAUCUUUCCAAUGAUGUAUGAUGAUAUAGUGGGUAUGCGCUUGAUCAUGGUAAAAAUUGAUAUCGAACUUCAACUAUUUUAUAUGUAAUAUAGAAGGAAAUUAAUUGCGCAUGCGUAACCUUUAAGCACAUCCGACCAAGUUAGUCGUCUGCCAGAAUUUUGACAUUUGACCAUCAAAAACUCUCUGUAUUGCAAAACAUAACUGCCAGAUGUCAUUUUGACCCAAAUAAGGGCUGUUUGCAAUUGGGCUGUUGCACUUGGGGUCAUAAGGGGGGUAAAUGCUGGAAAAUCACACCGAAACCUGUUCCGGAGACAUAUUCUAAGACUACUUAAACACCCGGCGGUGUCGAAAUGGGUCUAUAGCUCUGCCUGAACUGUCGUCCAAUUGGUUUACAAGUCCGGCUGAAGUGACAGGCCAUCGAAAACUGUACAGUGUGACUGAUUCGGAGACGGCCCUCAACACUCGCCCAGUCGUGUCGAGAGGAUCGGUGUCUUUGCAGAUUACACGGAAUUGAGCACCCGGGCCAGACUGACACUUUCCGGAGCCUGCCCUAGACGGAACUCGAGCCGAGGAAUCAUAGGUCCAGGUGUGACAAAAGACUUAAAGCUCAUGUCUGACGAUGACUUUUUUAGUCAGGAAGCCAAGUGUGUUGUUUUUCCAUGCAAGCGAGCCCUUUUGUUGGGUCAAAUGACAUCAGCAUUGCUGCUUCUACAUGGAUUUUACCUAAAAUGUGCAAAAAAAAUAUAAAAAGUUUGUUCGAAUCCAGUUCAAAACCUGCUUUGAUGCACAAAUAUUGCCAUUGAUGAUUUUUUUCACUUAUUAAGCCAUAUGUAAGAUAAGCUUUGCCUAUUAGAAUCGAAAGACAUGCCUUGUAUGGAGUCUAAGUGCUGCAUGUAUGAUGUAACCGAGUUUGGCUUUUCUACCUUAAUUCUUGACGCGAAACGCUGUUACGCAUGGCGCUUUCAACGGCAACUUUUAUGAAUUAAUCUGUGUGUCAUUGUACCGGAACUUUGUGAUCUUUCUCAAAACAGAUUAUACCUGUGGGAAAAGUGCCUUUAAUUUAAAUUUGAAGGGGUUGGGUUCUCUUAAAGGUCACAUAACCCCAAACCGGAACUCCUGUUUUUAGGGUUACAUGCAGUCAGUUUGAUACUUAGCACACAUUGUUGAGUGCAUGCUGCCUAGGAUUUGUAAAAUACAUUGCAAAUGGUUGGUUUUGGUAUCAACUUGAAGGUAUAUUUGUAAGCAAUAAGAAAAUAAGCCAUUUUUGUGCUCUACUUUUUGUGUUGAUGGUUCCCGGCUUCGAAAGUAGGUCAUACUAUUUGAGCCCAAAAUGGUUGUCUGCACAGCUGUCAAAACCGGUUUGCCUAUUCUAAGGUAAAUAUUUUGAGUUUGCGCGUAUAGAAUUUAAUGACAUGCAUUUUUUUCAAAAGUAUAUGCAUUAAUCUUUCCAAUGAUGUAUGAUGAUAUAGUGGGUAUGCGCUUGAUCAUGGUAAAAAUUGAUAUCGAACUUCAACUAUUUUAUAUGUAAUAUAGAAGGAAAUUAAUUGCGCAUG